GGGGUUCGAACCCCGACCCCUAAUGUAAUGUCCCUGCCAACCGACCUGAUCUCAUCGGACUAUUUGACAUAGUGUUUCUACUGUUGAUCAAGAAUAAAACAUGUUGCCCAUGUUGGACGAUGAAAAUGCCGAUUCACAUUGGAUAUGUCUUUUGUGCCAUAUUUGUUCAUGCUUUGGAUUGAAGCAUGGUCAUUCUUAUAGUAUCUCACUGUUUAAUAAAACUAUUAUAUUUCGUGUUAUGACAGCAAACAAAGGGUCUCGAUCUAUAUUCCAUUUCCCAGGGGAAAAAAUCAUAAGUUAAUACAACUACAAGACGAAAUGAGAUUGUAUUUGUAUUUAUGAAGUCAAGAAUCUGAUGUAACUCCAUUUAGAUUUUAGCGAGAGCAUUC
rnacentral:lncRNA from 1 species